rnacentral:SRP_RNA from 10 species
GCCAGGUGUGGUGGUGCAUGACUGCAGUCCCAGAUUCCUGGGAAGCUGAUGUGGGAGGAUUGCUUGAAUCCAUGAGUUCUGGGCUGUAGUGUGCUAUGCCAGUUGGGUGUCUGCACUAAGCUCAGCAUCAAUAUGGUGGCCUCCUUGGAGCAAAUCACCAGGUUGCCUAAGGAGGGCUAAACGGGUCCAGGUUGGAAAUGGAGCAGGUCAAAACUCCUAUGCUGAUUAGUAGUGGGACCAUGCCUGUGAAUAGCUACUGCACUCAAGCCUGGGCAAUAAGCAAGACCCUGUCU